rnacentral:rRNA from 1 species
AGCGGCGGACGGGUGAGUAACACGUGGGUAACCUGCCCAAGAGACUGGGAUAACACCUGGAAACAGAUGCUAAUACCGGAUAACAACACUAGACGCAUGUCUAGAGUUUGAAAGAUGGUUCUGCUAUCACUCUUGGAUGGACCUGCGGUGCAUUAGCUAGUUGGUAAGGUAACGGCUUACCAAGGCAAUGAUGCAUAGCCGAGUUGAGAGACUGAUCGGCCACAUUGGGACUGAGACACGGCCCAAACUCCUACGGGAGGCAGCAGUAGGGAAUCUUCCACAAUGGACGGAAGUCUGAUGGAGCAACGCCGCGUGAGUGAAGAAGGGUUUCGGCUCGUAAAGCUCUGUUGGUAGUGAAGAAAGAUAGAGGUAGUAACUGGCCUUUAUUUGACGGUAAUUACUUAGAAAGUCACGGCUAACUACGUGCCAGCAGCCGCGGUAAUACGUAGGUGGCAAGCGUUGUCCGGAUUUAUUGGGCGUAAAGCGAGUGCAGGCGGUUCAAUAAGUCUGAUGUGAAAGCCUUCGGCUCAACCGGAGAAUUGCAUCAGUAACUGUUGAACUUGAGUGCAGAAGAGGAGAGUGGAACUCCAUGUGUAGCGGUGGAAUGCGUAGAUAUAUGGAAGAACACCAGUGGCGAAGGCGGCUCUCUGGUCUGCAACUGACGCUGAGGCUCGAAAGCAUGGGUAGCGAACAGGAUUAGAUACCCUGGUAGUCCAUGCCGUAAACGAUGAGUGCUAAGUGU